CAGCAGCCGCGGUAAUACGUAGGGUGCGAACGUUAAUCGGAAUUACUGGGCGUAAAGCGUGCGCAGGCGGUUGUGUAAGACAGGUGUGAAAUCCCCGGGCUUAACCUGGGAACUGCGCUUGUGACUGCACAGCUAGAGUAUGGCAGAGGGGGGUGGAAUUCCACGUGUAGCAGUGAAAUGCGUAGAGAUGUGGAGGAAUACCGAUGGCGAAGGCAGCCCCCUGGGCCAAUACUGACGCUCAUGCACGAAAGCGUGGGGAGCAAACAGGAUUAGAUACCCCCGUAGUCCCUGUCUCUUAUAC
rnacentral:rRNA from 1 species